rnacentral:rRNA from 1 species
UUCGCCNUACGGCUCAGUAACACGUCGAUAAUCUGCCUAAGGUCUGGGAUAGCCUCGGAAAACUGAGGGUAAACCCGGAUAUGGGAUAAAAUCUGGAAUGAUUUAUCCUAGAAAAGCAAUGCCUUAGGAUGAGUCGGCGGCCGAUUAGGUUGUUGGCGGGGUAAUGGCCCACCAAGCCCAAGAUCGGUAGGGGCCCUGAGAGGGGAAGCCCCGAGAAGGGCACUGAGAUACUGGCCCUAGCCCUACGGGGUGCAGCAGGCGCGAAACCUCUACAAUGCACGAAAGUGUGAUAGGGGGAUCCCGAGUGCUUACACUCAGUGUAAGCUUUUUCUAAGAGUAAACACCUUAGAGAAUAAGUGGUGGGUAAGACUGGUGCCAGCCGCCGCGGUAACCCCAGCGCCACAAGUGGCAACCACAUUUAUUGGGCCUAAAGCGUCCGUAGCCGGUUUGGAAAGUCUUUUGUGAAAUCAUUGGGCUUAACUCAAUGGCGUGCAGAAGAUACUAACAGACUCGGAACCGGGAGGAGCCGGAAGUAUUUUUGGGGGAGCGGUAAAAUGCUAUAAUCCCAAAAGGACUACCUGUGGCGAAGGCGUCCGGCUAGAACGGAUUCGACGGUGAGGGACGAAAGCCAGGGGAGCAAAACGGAUUAGAUCGAUUUUUUGCCAAAAAAUCGAGUAAAUGCACUUAAGUGCAAUACUCACUUUGUGAGAUUGCACGAACUAUGUUUGCUUUAUCUACUGUAGUUCGUGAAAAAUCAUGAGGGAAGAUGGGCAAUAAAAUCCUAAAUACCCGAGUAGUCCUGGCUGUAAACUCUGCGAGCUAGGUGUUGCAUAUUCUUCGGAGUAUGCAGUGUCGGAGCGAAGGUGUUA